rnacentral:misc_RNA from 1 species
GAUGAAGAACGCAGCGAAAUGCGAUAAGUAAUGUGAAUUGCAGAAUUCAGUGAAUCAUCGAAUCUUUGAACGCACAUUGCGCCCGUCAGUAUUCUGGCGCGCAUGCCUGUUCGAGCGUCAUUACGCCCCUCAAGUCCCCUGUGGACUUGGUGUUGGGGAUCGGCGAGGCUGGUUUUCCAGCACAGCCGUCCCUUAAAUUAAUUGGCGGUCUCGCCGUGGCCCUCCUCUGCGCAGUAGUAAAACACUCGCAACAGGAGCCCGGCGCGGUCCACUGCCGUAAAACCCCCCAACUUUUUAUAGUUGACCUCGAAUCAGGUAGGACUACCCGCUGAACUUAAGCAUAUCAAUAAGCGGAGGA